UACGUAGGGUGCGAGCGUUGUCCGGAAUUAUUGGGCGUAAAGGGCUCGUAGGCGGUUUGUCGCGUCGGGAGUGAAAUCCACUGGCUUAACUGGUGGCUUGCUUUCGAUACGGGCAGACUGGAGGUAUGCAGGGGAGAACGGAAUUCCUGGUGUAGCGGUGAAAUGCGUAGAUAUCAAGAGGAACACCUGAGGUGAAGACGGGUUGCUGGGCUGACACUGACGCUGAGGCGCGAAAGCCAGGGGAGCAAACGGG
rnacentral:rRNA from 1 species